rnacentral:rRNA from 1 species
UACGUAGGGAGUACAGUCGUUGCCGGAAUUAUUGGGCGUAAAGAGCUCGUAGGCGGUUUGUCGCGUCUGCUGUGAAAACUGGAGGCUCAACCUCCAGCCUGCAGUGGGUACGGGCAAACUAGAGUGCGGUAGGGGAGAUUGGAAUUCCUGGUGUAGCGGUGGAAUGCGCAGAUAUCAGGAGGAACACCGAUGGCGAAGGCAGAUCUCUGGGCCGUAACUGACGCUGGAGGAGCGAAAGCAUGGGGAGCGAACAGG